rnacentral:rRNA from 1 species
AACUAUGUGCCAGCAGCCGCGGUAAUACAUAGGGUGCAAGCGUUGUCCGGAAUUAUUGGGCGUAAAGAGCUCGUAGGUCGUUUGUCACGUCGGAUGUGAAAACCUGAGGCUCAACCUCAGGCCUGCAUUCGAUACGGGCAAACUAGAGUUUGGUAGGGGAGACUGGAAUUCCUGGUGUAGCGGUGGAAUGCGCAGAUAUCAGGAGGAACACCAAUGGCGAAGGCAGGUCUCUGGGCCAAUACUGACACUGAGGAGCGAAAGUCUGGGGAGCGAACAGGAUUAGAUACCCCUGGUAGUCCAGACCGUAAACGGUGGGCACUAGUUGUGGGGAACCCUUCCACGGUUUUCUUGCGACGCCAGCUAACCGCAUUUAAAGUGGCCCCCCGCCUUGGGGGAAGUACCGAAUCCGCAAAGAAUUUAAAAACCUUCAAAAGGGAAUUUGACCGGGGGCCCCCGCACAAAGCCAGCGGGAGCCAUUGCCGGCUUCAAUUUCGACGCAACCGCCGAAAGAAACCCUUACCAAGGGCUUUGACAUUAUUAGGGGAAAAAGUGGGGCCAGAGA